rnacentral:lncRNA from 1 species
AUGUCCCCAAGUUUUCCCUGCUUCACCCUCAUCACCCUGAACAGCCGGAGAGUUCCUGGCUCAGGCCGCAGCCCAGCCUUCCACGAGGGAGUGGGGAUCAGAUACGCCGCAGCCCCCUCCUCCGACCUGGGCGCUCUCCCAUCUCGGGAUGCUGGUGGAAGUGCCUCAUUCAGACGCCCCAGGCAUCGGAUUCUGGGCGGGGGCGCGUGGCCGCCGCCAGGUGAGUGCCCCGGACGCGCCCCUGCAGCCGCCCCACCUCUCACCAGACGCUCACUCCCCCUCCUUUUAUGGAGACGGGGAGGCAGGGGCCCUGGAUCCUCACGGUGGAAAGAGGCCCGAGCGCCGCGCCGGGGCGGGGGGCCGGAGGCGGGGGCCGGUUCGCGUUUGCCCUUUUUGGCGCAGCAGCUCUGGGCGCUGCCCGCUGCCGCCGCUGGGGCCCGAGGGAGGCGAGCCGGCGACGGCAGCGCUUCUGCGGCGGCCUCCUCCCCUCCCCGUCCGAUGCCGCAGGAUUGCAGCUGGCACUGGAGGGUGGGCAAGCUCGAGGGAGGGGCGCGCGGGGAGCCCCGCCGGGCGCGCGGAGCUCGGAGCCGGGCGCGGGGCUUUGAUGGGUUUUACUGGCUGCGUGAGCGCCGCUCGGUGCUCUCUGCGGCGGCGGCGGCGGCGCCCGGGCCCUGCCCGGCCCGUGCGGCCCCCGCGCGCUUCCGAGGUGCGGGUCCGGGGCCCGGAAUCCGGGGGAGGCGAGGGGGAGGGGGCGGGGGAGGGGCGCGGCGGCGGCGGCGCUAUAACCCCCUCCCCGCCGCCGGCCGGCUCCACACGCGCGCCCUGCGGAGCCCGCACAACUCCGGCGAGCCGGGCCUGCCCGUGCCUCCUCCCCCCCCCUCCUCCUCCUCCUCCUCCGCCACCCGGCGGCGGCGGCGGCGGCGGCGGCGGCUCCCUUCGGCCCCACGCUCCGGCCGGCGCGGCGAGGCCCCGGGCGGGCGGCGGCUGCCAGGCGGCGCGGCCGCGGGCGCUGCCCGGCUCGGGCCGGCGGAGGGCGGAGCGCGGCGCCAGAGCCGAGGGCACGCCGCGGAGGGGCGCACGCAGGCCGCCGGGCCGCGCCGUGCUGGGCCGCGCCGUACCCGGCCGGGCGGCGGCUGCGAGAGGAGGCCGAAGGCGAGCGCGGGGCCGGCGGUGGGCGCGCAGGGCCGUCCGCAGCCCCGCGGGGAGAGCGCGAGCCCGCGGCCGGGGCCCGGCCGGGCAUCCAGACAGGUGAUGGGUGGUGCGGCGGCGGCGGCGGCGGCUGCAGCCUCGCUCCGGGGUCCCUCUCGGGGCUGA